rnacentral:rRNA from 1 species
UACAGAGGUCCCAAGCGUUGUUCGGAUUCACUGGGCGUAAAGCGCACGCAGGCGGUCUGCCAAGUUUGGAGUGACAGUUGGUGGCUCAACCACCGAAGUGCUUCGAAAACUGACAGACUUGAGGACUUCAGAGGGACACGGAAUUCCGGGUGGAGUGGUGAAAUGCGUAGAGAUCCGGAGGAACACCGAAGGCGAAGGCAGUGUCCUGGGGAGUACCUGACGCUCAGGUGCGAAAGCUAGGGGAGCGAACGGG